rnacentral:rRNA from 1 species
UACGAAGGGGGCUAGCGUUGCUCGGAAUCACUGGGCGUAAAGCGCACGUAGGCGGAUCUUUAAGUCAGGGGUGAAAUCCCAAGGCUCAACCUUGGAACUGCCUUUGAUACUGGAGAGCUUGAGUCCGGGAGAGGUGAGUGGAACUCCGAGUGUAGAGGUGAAAUUCGUAGAUAUUCGGAAGAACACCAGUGGCGAAGGCGGCUCACUGGCCCGGUACUGACGCUGAUGUGCGAAAGCGUGGGGAGCAAACAGG